rnacentral:rRNA from 1 species
UACGAAGGGGCUAGCGUUGCUCGGAAUCACUGGGCGUAAAGCGCACGUAGGCGGAUUGUUAAGUCAGGGGUGAAAUCCUGGAGCUCAACUCCAGAACUGCCUUUGAUACUGGCGAUCUUGAGUCCGGGAGAGGUGAGUGGAACUGCGAGUGUAGAGGUGAAAUUCGUAGAUAUUCGCAAAGAACACCAGUGGCGAAGGCGGCUC